CCUACGGGUGGCUGCAGUGGGGGAUAUUGGACAAUGGGGGGAACCCUGAUCCAGCGACGCCGCGUGAGUGAAGAAGUAUCUCGGUAUGUAAAGCUCUAUCAGCAGGGAAGAAGAAAUGACGGUACCUGAGUAAGAAGCCCCGGCUAACUACGUGCCAGCAGCCGCGGUAAUACGUGUGGGCAAUGUGUAUCCGGAAUUACUGGGGGUAAAGGGAGCGUAGACGGUGAUGUAAGUAUGGGAGGAAGGGCGGGGGCCCAACCCCCGGACUGCUCUGGAAACUAUGUGACUGGAGUGCAGGAGAGGUGAGCAGAAUUCCUAGUGUAGCGGUGAAAUGCGUAGAUAUUAGGAGGAACACCAGUGGCGAAGGCGGCUCACUGGACUGUAACUGACGUUGAGGCUCGAAAGCGUGGGGAGCAAACAGGAUUAGAUACCCCGGUAGUC
rnacentral:rRNA from 1 species